rnacentral:rRNA from 1 species
UACGAAGGGGGCUAGCGUUGUCCGGAUUUACUGGGCGUAAAGGGCGCGUAGGCGGUCCGGUAAGCGUGUGGUGAAAGCUCGGGGCUCAACCCCGAGUCGGCCAUGCGAACUGCGGGACUGGAGCAUGUCAGAGGCAGGCGGAAUUCCGGGUGUAGCGGUGGAAUGCGUAGAGAUCCGGAAGAACACCGGUGGCGAAGGCGGCCUGCUGGGACAUUGCUGACGCUGAGGCGCGACAGCGUGGGGAGCAAACAGG